GUCCACGCCGUAAACGAUGGAUACUAGCUGUUGGGAGUAAUCUCAGUGGCUAAGCGAAAGUGAUAAGUAUCCCACCUGGGGAGUACGUUCGCAAGAAUUAAACUCAAAGGAAUUGACGGGGGCCCGCACAAGCUGUGGAGCAUGUGGUUUAAUUCGAUGAUACGCGAGGAACCUUACCAAGGCUUAAAUGUAGAUUGACCGAUUUGGAAACAGAUCUUUCGCAAGACAAUUUACAAGGUGCUGCAUGGUUGUCGU
rnacentral:rRNA from 1 species